rnacentral:lncRNA from 10 species
GUUUUCACUCUCCUAGGAUGACCCAGGUAUAGAAUCUGCCCCUAUGGUUCGGCUCCACCCUCUCACCUGUCUCUUGAGAGCAUUGUGAAAUUCUGAGACACAGCAAGGACAGAAACAGAGGGCAUGGAAGAUGCUUUCAGAGAUCAGAUCCAGAGCCUGACAAGUUUAUUUACUUGGAGAAGCAGAUUCUAGGUUCUAGAAAAGAAGGCUGAAAAUACAACUUUAAGGGAAAGGAUAAUCUGAUGACUAAUUCUCAUUUAUCAAAAAGCCACUUUGCCUUAGAUCUAUCUGUAUAAACUCCAUGCUUCACAGUAAAAUCCUUCUAACUUUAUUGAAAAAAGGGGGCCACCUAGCAAAUAACACCAAGAGUAUUAUUUCUGGGGUUCAGUUAACCCAAAGACAAUUAUUUAUCUUACUAAAAUCCAUUUCUAGGUCUAUAAACCUAUUGUGUAGUACAUAAAUACAUAGGCUUUAGUCCUAGAUAGUUGGAGCAGAUC